CCGCGGUAACACCGGCGGCCCGAGUGGUGAUCGUGAUUAUUGGGUCUAAAGGGUCCGUAGCCGGUUUGGUCAGUCCUCCGGGAAAUCUGAUAGCUCAACUAUUAGGCUUUCGGGGGAUACUGCCAGACUUGGAACCGGGAGAGGUAAGAGGUACUACAGGGGUAGGAGUGAAAUCUUGUAAUCCCUGUGGGACCACCUGUGGCGAAGGCGUCUUACCAGAACGGGUUCGACGGUGAGGGACGAAAGCUGGGGGCACGAACCGGAUUAGAUACCCGGGUAGUCCCAGCCGUAAACGAUGCUCGCUAGGUGUCAGGCAUGGCGCGACCGUGUCUGGUGCCGCAGGGAAGCCGUGAAGCGAGCCACCUGGGAAGUACGGCCGCAAGGCUGAAACUUAAAGGAAUUGGCGGGGGAGCACAACAACGGGUGGAAGCCUGCGGUUUAAUUGGACUCAACGCCGGACAACUCACCGGGGGCGACAGCAAUAUGUAGGCCAAGCUGAAGACUUUGCCUGAAUCGCUGAGAAGAGGUGCAUGG
rnacentral:rRNA from 1 species